rnacentral:misc_RNA from 1 species
AUUUUAUCUUUGCUCUACAUUUAUUAAAAAAAAAAAAGAAUAUUAAAGAUAAAAGAAUGCCUUUAUUAAUAUAAAUGAAACAUGUGUUACAUGAAUAAUAUCACUGCACUUGCAACCAUGUGAUUGGCGGCGGCAAAGCACAUAUACUAACACAUAAGACACAUGCACUAUUUGUCUUGUAUUGUCUUUUCUUAUCUUGUCUUGUUCCUUGUACCAAAUG